rnacentral:rRNA from 1 species
GACGGAGGGUGCUAGCGUUGUUCGGAAUCACUGGGCGUAAAGGGCGCGUAGGCGGCUUCAGGUGUCGGAUGUGAAAGCCCGGGGCUCAACCCCGGAGGUGCAUCCGAAACUCUGGAGCUGGAGGCCGGAAGAGGAGGGUGGAAUACCCAGUGUAGAGGUGAAAUUCGUAGAUAUUGGGUGGAACACCGGUGGCGAAAGCGGCUCUCUGGUCCGGUCCUGACGCUGAGGCGCGAAAGCGUGGGGAGCAAACAGGAUUAGAUACCCUGGUAGUCCACGCCCUAAACGAUGCGGGCUAGACGUCGGGGGGCAUGCCCCUCGGUGUCGCAGCGAACGCGUUAAGCCCGCCGCCUGGGGAGUACGGCCGCAAGGUUAAA